rnacentral:rRNA from 1 species
ACGCUGGCGGCGUGCCUAACACAUGCAAGUCAACUUGACGGAAGGAGCAAUCUGACCGUAGAGUGGCGCAAGGGUGCGUAACGCGUAAGUAACUUGCCCAAGGUAAGGAAUAACGUCGAGAAAUCGGCGCUAAUACCUCAUAAUGCAGCGGAUCCGCAUGGAUAUGUUGUUAAAGGUUUACCGCCUUGGGAUAGGCUUGCGUCUGAUUAGCUAGUUGGUGUGGUAACGGCACACCAAGGCUACGAUCAGUAACUGGUCUGAGAGGAUGAUCAGUCACACUGGAACUGAGACACGGUCCAGACUCCUACGGGAGGCAGCAGUGAGGAAUAUUGGGCAAUGCUCGAAAGAGUGACCCAGCAACGCCGCGUGGAGGAUGAAGGUAUUCUAUACCGUAAACUCCUGUGAGAGCAGACGAAAGACAGAUUAUUAAUCUGGAUGACUGUAUGCUCAGAGGAAGCCCCGGCUAACUACGUG